rnacentral:siRNA from 1 species
AGCAUUAGGUGGUCAUCAAAAUGC